GAUCUGUGCUGGGGAGGCUCAAAGGUCAGCAGUGGAAGCUAGAAUGUCUGCGCCAGUGGGAUGAAGGAUCUGAGCCAGCAGGCUGAGGAAUCUACGCUGGAGCCAGGAAGCAGAGCUCAAGGUUCUGACUCUUUUUUUUAAAGCCCCGAUUACGGUUCUGUCUAGGAAUUCUCCUUUUCAGAAGCACACAGCAGAAUGCUGAGCAUGCCAGGCAUGUUUAACAUGCUGUGCUUGGGGCGAUUUCUAGUUUGGUUGAGCCUGCAGUUUCACGCUCACAUUGACUCUUCUGUGAAUGACUUCCUGGAGCCAGGUACUCUUUUAGGUCUUCACAUGUAGCAGCUCAAUCCAUAGUGGUUUUAUGUGCUGUGAUGUUAUCGGCCCCACUUUGCAGAUGAGUAAGCUGAGGUCGUCGCAUGCGUAAUGAUUGCCUGCAGUCACACGCUUGAGUGGUAAAGUCAGAAUUUGAACCUGGGUAGUGUGGCUCAGGAUUUGUUUUUGUGGUCAGAACACUGUUAAUAUGCAACUUCCUGUUAGUUAUCUUUUACAGUAUAACACAUUUCUUCUAAACCUAGUAUAGCAAAAAAUUAUUGUCUCAUAGCUACAGAGUGUGAGAAAUCUGGGAAUGUCUUAGAGACAUAAUUGCUCUGUCAUGGUUUUUCAUAAAGUUUUGACAAGAUGCUGGCUGGACUGAUGCAGGCCUGACCAGGUCACAGAAACUGCUUCCAUUAGAAAAGGAUGCAAUACUCAAUCUUGGGAGAAAUUUUUCCUCAAGUAUUUCUUAAGAGAAAUUCUUACACAUUCUUGAAAAGUCAUUGUUAGAAUUUUGUAGUAGGGGUGGGGGGUUUAGCUCAGUGGCACAAGCACCUGCCUGGCAAGUGUGAGGUUGUGAGUUCGAUCCCUGGCACCAAAAAAAAAAACAAAUUUUUUUUUGUAGUAUCCUUUGUUGGUAACCAAGAAAAAGUAGAUGAACAAACAAAAAUUAAGCAAGGAACAAAGUGUUGAUAAUAGUGACAAUGCAUAAUAUUACAUAUGAUAGAUAAAUUCUACUAAUAUGGGAAAAAUGUUUGAGUCUUUUUUUUUUUUAACUUUAACUUUUUAUCGGUACUGGGGAUUGAACUCAUGACCACCUGCUUACAAGGCAGGUGCUUCUGCUGCUGAGCUAAACUCCCAGCCCCUUAAUAUGGGAAAAAUGUAAGAAAAUACUAUAUAUUGCAUGCUAUAUAUACAAAGGUUGAGGGGUGAAGAUUGAGGACAGGAUAUGUUAUUAGGAGCAUCAACUAUAUUUGUAUUGUAUUUCUUAUAAGCGUUGUUUGUGUAUGAGUUUUGAUUGUACUACUCUGACACCUUUUCCCAAGGUAUCAUGGGAGGAAAGAAUAAAGAAAGGUCCAUAACUUAUAAAGGAUUAUGUAACCAUAAGUAGCUGUCAAGGUGCAAAGAUCAAUGGGCUCUGCAGUGAGUACCUGAGUUCAAAUUCUGGUACUCUCCUACUUAUUCCAUUAUUUACAGCCGAUGGACCAGGGCAGUGUGGCUUAGAAUUUGUCAGAUGCUUUUGACUGAUUUAUAGUUGUGCUCUGAUCUUGAGGCUCUGAUUUGGCUAAUUUCCCCUACGUGUUGUUGAAAAAUAAAGUGGUCUUUGUUUCCCCUUUUCCAUUUUUCCUCAGAGAAAACAACUUUAGAGGUCUUCAUUUAUAAUUUAUUUGAUACACUAAAAUUAGAAAUGAGACAUUUCUCUCUUUUGCUGUGAAAAGUUCCAGUCUUUAAUAAAAUGUUGAUGUUUUCAGGAGACUAUCCACUGGGGAAAACUUAUUCAAGAAUACAAUUUUUGAAUGAAAGACAAAAUAUGUAGCAAAUAAAACAUAAUUAAGGAGACAAUUUUACUUUUUCUUAUAUGACAAAUUCUACUUUACUUCUCCUCUAUGAGAAAGCCCUGGGAGUGUGACACUAUUUCUUAAAAAAAAAAAAAAAAAGACUUAAGUACAUUGUAUCUCAGAUCCAAUCAUAGGGCAUUGCAGUUAAUAAAUGUAACAGACUGAAAACAUCAACCAUUUGUUAUUAAUCAUAUAUUAUUUUGUAUUUAAAGAGUAUGCUUAAAUUUCACUUCAAAUGUGUAUGUUUCUUAAGUGUCUAUGUUUAAAACAUCAUAACCGUAUUUUUAGUAUCUCUGAGGUCAGACUCUAUAAGUUGUAUCUUUUUUUUGCAACCCAGACCUAGAAUUUGGUGGGUUUAAAUGCUUGAGCGGAAGCACAAGUUGUAUUAGCUAAGAAAAGACAGCACUUGCAUGUGCACAGGUAGCUGAUACUAACAAUUUCUUUCUUAUGCAUAUGAUUGGGAGUCACAAGGACAGAGCCUUAUCUUCCUGAUGGGGGUGACAGCUGCCACUGUGUGAUGUUCCUUCAGCACCAUUUCACUAUCUUGUUCCCUCUCCACCAGUUGUGUAAUACUUUUAACUUCUGUUAAUCAACAACCAAUCACUCAUUUGUUAAAAAAACAAACCAGUAAUUUCAAGCUGUGGCUGUGAAGUGAUGAUUUUUAAUUCAUCCAAUUAUUUCUUCUGUAUUUCUUAACGAGUAUUUUUGUGUAAAAUAGGGCCAGUUGGCUUUCCUGAUACAUACUUCAUUUUAGAAAGUGAAGAUAAAUGUGUAAUUCUCUGCAAUGGUUACCAAUUUUCUUUUUAAAUUUUUUUACUAUGGGGAUUGAACUCAAGGCCUUCACUAGGAAUAAGCUACAUUUCAAAACUAGAAUUUGGCUUAAAAGUUUCUUUAGAUGGUAACGUAUGAGUCACCCUGACUUUAUCUUUUUUUCAGUAUUACAAACUUUUUUUUUUUUUUUUGGUACCAGGGAUCGAACUCACGACCUAGUAGGUGCUUAUGCUGAUGAGCUAAGUCCCUGGCAACUUUGGGGUUUUUAUAUAGUCAAUGUUUAUCAUUUUAGGUAUAACCAUUACUCUUUUUGAUGUUGUAUGACCACAAUUAGGCCAGUAAAAUCCCUUUCAAUUGACUCCUGUGGCCUUUUGUUGUCAUUCCAUUAAUCUUUGGAAAUUUUCUUGUUUUUGAGCAUGACAAAUUCGUCCCAGCUUACUCUGCCUCUUUCCUGCCCUACUUCUGUAAUCUUCUCUUUCUCCAAGGAGUCCUGGUUUCUUUUUGUGGGGAAUGGUACUAGAAACUAAAAUAAGGAUAAAAGUUUUUACUUUUUGCCAUCUGUGUAUAUAUAUUAAUUUUAUUUUUAAGAUAGGGUUUCACUAUGUAGUGCAGACUGGCCUUGCACUCACUAUGAAGCCCAUUAAACUCACUGUGUAGCCCAGACUAGCCUUGAAGUCUUGGCCAUCCUCCUGCCUUGGCCUCUAUCCUCAUCCUUCUGAGUGCUGGGAUAACAGGCAUGCACCACCACCAUGCCUAUCUAUACUUUUUUAAAUUAAAAAUAUAUUUGGCCUGUUUUUACUUUUUGGCAGCAAUGUUAUUCUGAGAACCUGGUGUUAUAUUGUUAGAGAUGAAAAUUUCUUAAGUAAGUAGACAACAUUUAUUUCGUAAGCCUUUAGUUCAGUCUUAAGGAUCAGUAUGAUUUCCUGAGUAGGUAAUUAUAAAAGUGCUCUGUGCAUUACCCACCUCCAUCCCCACCAUGCAAGGAGUCUGUGCUCUGUGCCCUUCCUCGAUGCAGGCUGGAAGACUGUGAGUUCAUGCUCCUGGCUUCUGUCCUUGUCCCUCCAGACAGCUGGCCGGAAAAGUGUAAGACUAGAGGGAACCUCAAGACCCAGGACAGCAGCCUGGUGCACAGACACACACACCUUUAGAGGGCAAAGUAACCAGUGAGGCCAGUAACGUGGAAAAUCUGAAGCAGCAGCAAGGAGACAGCGGUUGCAUUUUGGAAAACUUCGCUAACAGAAGACCAGUCCCAGCCUAGGCAUCCAGAGGCCAAGGUCGGCUCCAUACGCAGCACAACUCUGGGAUGGAACAUGGACAUUAUCACUGUAAACACCAGGAGAAGGAAGGUUCUUGGGAUAGCUAUAGAGAACUAACUGCAUCUGGAGAGGAGAGCAUCCCUGAAGAAUGGACAUCUCCUUUCCUCCUUGAGAGAGGCCUCGGUGCUAGCGGUAGAGCUAUAUAUCAUGAGAAGUUGGUGGGCAUCAAUAUAGAAAAUAAAAUAAAAGGAAAACGAGAAGGUGGUGAAUGGCAAGCUGCAGGGCUGAGUGUUUCCUGACACCCCCAGCCACCCAGGACAGGCCUAGAACUCAAUGAGAUGGAUGACACUGGAAGUCAAACACUGUAACUUUAAAAUGAUAACAACAAAAGGGAAAAAAACAAAUGGAAAUGGUUACAGAGAGAAAAUGAUCUCUCAGGUACAAAAAGAAGCGAUGCUUAAAAUUAAAGAUAUUAGAGAAGACACAAAUAAAAGAAUAGAAAAGCUUAGAAAAAGAUGGAAACAAAAAAUGCCCAACAUAGGAGAGAAAUGGAAUCCAUGAAACAGAUCCAAACAGAGAUCCAGGCAAUUAAAACCUCCACUGAAAGUAUAUGCAACAGAUGGAAUGAAGGAAAGGAUACAACUUCAGAUCCUGAAGACAGAAUUGCAGCUUGUGAUCAUGAAAAGAAAAAUAUCUCAGAAAUAACAAGAGACCAUGAGAUAGCAAUCCAACAGCCACAAGAAAAAGCAAAGAAGGAUAAGACAAGAUUGAUUGGGGUCGGUGAGAAAGUUGUAGACAGCAUAAACACCAUAGCAAUCAUGAGUAUAUAUGAACCUAAUAUGGCAGCACCCAACUAUAUAGGAUAGUUAUGGGUAGACACGGAAAAUCAAAUGAGCAAUAACACAGUUGGAAAGGGAGAUUUUGGUACCCCAUGGUCACAGAGAGACAGAUCAACUAGACAGAAAAUCAGCAAAGAAAUAUCAGAGCCAAACCAUACCUGUGAGCAAAUGGGUGAAAAGGAAGAAGCCACAAACCAAGGCCCACAGCCAUCAGGGGAGCAUCAAUGAACCAUCAUCCCUGUUUGUUCCCCACUCCAGAAACCCCAGAUCAGAGGAACCCAGGUACCUUGUCCGGUCCACUACACCGAGGGACUGCCAGCCAGUGCAGGAAGCAUGUCGAAUGCAGAAAUGGGCUGAUUUGGAGGAGCACAGGAAAAAGUCAAAAUGAAGGAGCAAAAUACAAUCUCAGACCUCCAGCUCUCAUAAGAACAAGUUCAGGAGACACAGACAUAGUGGAAAUUAGAAGUUGAGUACUUGAAAUUUCUGAAAAGAUAACCAUUGAGGUAAAAAAGCAACUUAAUUCUUGCAUUGUUUGGUUAAUUUCACCUGCCUAUGUCUGAUGGUCUGGACAGUUAUUUUGAAGAAAACAAGAGGCAUUGUGAUAGCCAUUGUUAAUUUCCCAUUAUUGUGUUUUGAAGCCCUAUGUUGUUUUUAUUGCUUGUUUUAUUUUGUUUUGCUUUAUUUGAUUUUAUUCUGAGUGAUGGUCUGGGCAGUUAUUUUGAAGAUGAAGAUAUUAUAUGGUAGGCAUUGUUGAUUUUCUGUUACUGUGUUUUGAAGUCCUGUAUCGCUUUCAUUUUCUAAAAAAUUGGCUUUAUUUUGUUUGGUUUUAUUCUUUUUUUAAAAAGUGCUCUGUGAUCUAGUGCAUUGGGAAAUGCUAUAUAUUUUUGGAAAUCGAUUCAUGGAGGUUCACAAAAAAGACCUGAAUAAUAAAUCCUAAAAAAUUUUUUUCAGAACAGAACAGUUUUAAGCAACAUAGUGUUUCACCACAAGAUAACCUGACAUAACAGUAGUUACCAUAGUGUUUCUUUCCUUGAAAUAUUUGAGUGUAACUUUGUAUACUAUAACAUCAAACAUAACAUGACAGUGUAAAACCAUUCAAGAGAAUGAAAGUAUUACAGGGUAUUUAGAACCAACUAACAGAAAACGAACAAUGGUUUCUGUAUUAUCUCCCUGUCUAUAAAAAAUUGUUUAUACUAUCACAUAUAAUAAAGUACAAUAAGAUACAACAUGAUAAAACCAAUGGAGACAGAAGAACAAAAGCUUGAUGGGACUUCAAAACAAGAUGGUGUUAAAUCAGCACUAACUAUUGUAUUGUCUUGUUUUCUUCAAAAUAACUGUUCAUACCAUCACAGACAAUAAAAUCAAACAACCCAGAAUAAAACUAUUCAAAUUAAUGAAUGAAAACAUUAUAAGGCUUCAAAGCAAUAUCAUGGGGAAUUAUGAUUACCACAUACUUUUAUGUAUUCUUACCGUUCCUUACACUAAGGAAACUAUUCGGUAUUUAUACAUGUGAGUUUAAUUUAUUUUGCUUAUGAGUAUGCUCUCAAGUUGCGCCCAUUUAUUUAUAAUAUCUCAAUGUGAUCAUUCUUUAUAGCUGAGUAAUACUCCAUUGUAUAAAAAUACCACAACUUUUUUAUCCAUUCCUCAGCUGAUGGACACUUAGGUUGUUUCCAAGAUCUGGCUAUUACAAAUUGUGCUGCUAUAAACAUGGGUGCACAUAUAUCACUGUGGUAUAAUGUUUUCAGUUCUUCUGGAAUAUACCUAGAAGUAAUCCUAAAAUGUUUUGCAGAAUCAGAAAAUAGCUCUAGUUGUCUUUCAGUCUUUUUGUUGCCUUUGGUGUGUGACGCUCUCACCAGUCCUUCCCUGACCAACUUCAUAAUUAAACCCAACUGACUCCGGAAGGUCUUUUGUAAUAAAAAUGACAUAUAUGCAAGGUUACACAUAACAUUAGCAUUAGCUAUUAAACAUAACAGUAAAAUGACUAUUGUGAUCUCACCUUUAACCCAAGAACUAGAUUUUUACCAAAAUUUUGUGUCUACCACUGUGUCCUUUCCCCACCCAAAUCUCCAUGUAUUACCUGCACACUCACCUACAGUCUUGUCAUUCUGUUGCUUUUUAAGCCGAAAUACAGUUUUAGCACUAAUAUAUAAGAACUGCAUCAUCCAUUUUUGCUUGUUUUAAAUACUAGAUGUUCCUUAACUUAUAAUGGGGUUAUAUUCUUCCAUACAUUAACUGUAACUUGAAAAUAUUAUAAGCCAAUACUUCAUAUUAUAUAUCUAACCUAUUCACUAUAGCUUAGUUACACUUACAUUUAUAUGUGGUCAGACACUUACAUUAGCUAACAGUUAGGUAUAAUCUUCUAUGAUAGUGUCUAUUUUAUUGUAAAGUGAUGUAUAACUCAUGCAAUUUAUGGAACAACUGUAUUCAAAACAUGCUGGUAACAUGGUCAGUGAUACAGUGUUGGUUGUUUCCCAUUGUGGUCACUGAUUGUGACCAGGAGCUGUGGCUGGUUGCUACUGUCCAGCACUGAAAGGGAAUAUAGUGCUACAUGUUACUAGUCCAGGAAAAGAUCCAUAUGUAAAAUUCAAAAUAUGGUUUCUACUGAAUUCACAUAAUGUUUACAUUAUUGUAUUAUGACUUUUGUUGAGGGUUGGGAAAAUAUGCUGUUCUCUACUUUGAUACAAUAUGUUUUAUUUUAUACUGGAAAUGAAACUCACGACCUCCUGCCUGUAGGGCAGGUGUUGUGCCACUGAGCUGUAUCCCUAGCCCAACAACACAACACGUCUGACUAGAUUUGCAGGAUUUUUUUUUUUCCUUCACACAAAGCAGUUCUUCAAUAAAGCAGACACCAGCUGAGUGCAUUACUAUCAGCACAGGAGCUCCAAGGAGAUCCCUAAAAGAGGAAAUGGGGACCUCAGCUAGCACCCCCACCCCUCAUGACCUAAGUUCAUUGUCUGUCAUCUCAGGAAAGUGUUUUGGGAUGCAAUAGUGCAAGGCACAGGAAGGCUUACUAGAUGGAGCUCAACAGUAAGGAAGUGGGAGAAGGAGCUUCCGCUCAGGGCUGCUGAAGCGGGCUCUGAUGGGGAAGUGGCGCCCCACAGGAGGAGGAGGAGGCCAGCCUUUGCUGAUUAGCUGAGGCAGGCCAGGGGUUGACAGAUCGUUUUCUCCACUUUUGCAAGGUGCUGCAGGAGAAGCCCUUACCCUUGAGGGAUCAGGUCAGUGUUCAUUUGAGAUCACAGUUUCUGGUUGGGGCCCUCUGGAUGUAGUGGAGGCUGUGAUGGAAAUCAAGGUUGCUGUAGGUUUAGAGUAGUGAGUGGAGACUUCUGAGUGUAGUUGAAUGUACCUGAAAACCUCUUUUAUUUGUUUAUUUUGAAAAAGCGUCUUACCAAGUUGCUAAGUUGCCCAGGCUGUAUGUGAAUUUGGGAUCCUUUUGCCUCAGCCUACCAGAAUGCUGGGAUUAUAGGGGUGUGCCAUCAUGUCUGGACUGUGGUUUCCUUUUUUGUAUUCUUCUGAACUAUUCUUUUUUUUUUAUUGUUUUUUUCUGAGCCAUGAUUUGGGAAUAGACAGAAGAAUAAAGUCUGGUUUCCUGGACUCCAGCAGCUGAUACUAGACUGGAGGAGACACAAAUUCAAGGAACUCAAAGCCUGUACUGAUUUACAGUCCCACCUACAGUGCAAGAAUUUCUUUUCUGCACACCCUUGCCAGGAUUUGUGUGUGUUUAAUGGACAUUCUAAUUCAGCAGAUUUAGUGGUCGGGAAAUUUGAUGUGGUGGUUAGACGCCUUUCUCCUGGGGAUCCUCUUCUGACAGAAUCUGGGCUGCCUGCAGAGCCACAGGGUGAAUUUGGGGUCCCUAGAAGCCCAAGAGGAUGGAGAAAGGGCAUCCUUCAAAUCUUCCUUGGUGUGAAUAUGGUAUGCCUCUGGAUAAGAAAGAAGAACCAAAAGUCUCAUGGACAUUCUUCCAAAGUUGGACAGCAAAUGUGCCUGAAGGCCUAGAAAACUGGCCUUCUGUCAUGGCCAACCCUGUCAUUACAGGGAGAAGCUUCCUAUGGAGUUCUUUUAUCUGCCUAUUUGGAUCUUCCAAAGAGGAACACCACUGAAAUUUCUCUAAUCAGAAGAGGCUAAACUCAUCGGAGAAAGACUGAAACCUGUGGGUACAUCUGGAAACACAUGCAGACUGAGCUGCAUUAUAGACCAUUGUCCUCCAUUUUGGUUCCACUUAGCAUUCCAAAGCAAAUUACUUUUUUUUACCUUUGACUGUUCUGCAGGCUUUCCAGACUCUGUCCCUGGCUUUGUUUUAUGUCCUCAAAGUUUAGUGAAUUCCCCAGAAAGUCAUUCACUAUUCCCCGCUUUCCCUUGCUUUUUUUUUGGAAGCAAGAUAUCAUUAUGUAGUUCAAGCUGGCUUGAACAGUCCAGGCUGGCCUCGAACUCAUGGUGAUCCUCCUGCCUUGGCCCCCUGAGUGCUGGGAUUACAGGUAUGUGUCAUCGCAUCACUAUCCCUUAAUAAUGGCCCUUCCUGUUCCUUAUUGAAGAGGGUAUUUAAGCUCAAUGAUCUAAUCUUUCCUUUGAGUCUCACCUUUGUUUGACUCCUGUGUUGUGAUUUUUCCUGGCAUGACAAUAAAUUUCUGUGUCUUUCUCCAGUGUA